UGGGAACCUAGAGGAGACUGGUGUUUGUGGUACUGUGUUUCUGUGCAGAUAUGGAGCUUAGUGGGAAGAUCGUUGGGCCCAUGUGAAGUCUGGAGUUUUUCACUGAUGCAAUUACACUAUGACCAGAAUUUCUGAAGUUUUUGGUCUUUCUGUAAUAGAUAUGAAAUAGCUGCUAAAACAGGAAACUCAUGCCCAGCAAAGCAGGAAACUAUCAAAGGAGAACAAGAAAUUGCUCUUGUUCAUGGGAAGUGUAGAACUGGAUCCUCAUAUAUCCAGAAAGGGAGAACUGACUUAUUUUAGAACGCAGUUGAAAGUGGGAAUCAAGAUGCUAAAUCAUUUAAAUGUAAG